UAGGGAAUCUUCGGCAAUGGACGAAAGUCUGACCGAGCAACGCCGCGUGAGUGAAGAAGGUUUUCGGCUCGUAAAACUCUGUUGUUAGAGAAGAACAAGGACGUUAGUAACUGAACGUCCCCUGACGGUAUCUAACCAGAAAGCCACGGCUAACUACGUGCCAGCAGCCGCGGUAAUCCGUAGGUGGCAAGCGUUGUCCGGAUUUAUUGGGCGUAAAGCGAGCGCAGGCGGUUCCUUAAGUCUGAUGUGAAAGCCCCCGGCUCAACCGGGGAGGGUCAUUGGAAACUGGGAGACUUGAGUGCAGAAGAGGAGAGUGGAAUUCCAUGUGUAGCGGUGAAAUGCGUAGAUAUAUGGAGGAACACCAGUGGCGAAGGCGGCUCUCUGGUCUGUAACUGACGCUGAGGCUCGAAAGCGUGGGGAGCAAACAGG
rnacentral:rRNA from 1 species